AGUGAACGCUGGCGAUAGGCCUAACACAUGCAAGUCGAACGGCAGCACAGUAAGAGCUUGCUCUUACGGGUGGCGAGUGGCGGACGGGUGAGGAAUACAUCGGAAUCUACUUUUUCGUGGGGGAUAACGUAGGGAAACUUACGCUAAUACCGCAUACGACCUACGGGUGAAAGCAGGGGAUCUUCGGACCUUGCGCGAUUGAAUGAGCCGAUGUCGGAUUAGCUAGUUGGCGGGGUAAAGGCCCACCAAGGCGACGAUCCGUAGCUGGUCUGAGAGGAUGGUCAGCCACACUGGAACUGAGACACGGUCCAGACUCCUACGGGAGGCAGCAGUGGGGAAUAUUGGACAAUGGGCGCAAGCCUGAUCCAGCCAUACCGCGUGGGUGAAGAAGGCCUUCGGGUUGUAAAGCCCUUUUGUUGGGAAAGAAAAGCAGCAGGUUAAUACCCCGCUGUUCUGACGGUACCCAAAGAAUAAGCACCGGCUAACUUCGUG
rnacentral:rRNA from 1 species